UUAACUCAACCAAAGUUUGACGAUCAGAUCUCGCACCGCCUCUGCUGUUACUGAGUCAUCGACUUCCUCGGCUUCCUGAUAUCAAUUGCUACGUGUGAUCGCCUCCGGUUACAAGAGACUGCAACACCGCCUCACUCAUGUGUUGGUCAUCGUAGCCGGUCUCUCAGUAUUUAAUGUUUAUCUAUUAUCGUUCUGUUUGCUUCACGAUCCUUCCACCACCUCACAAAUCGACCUUCCUCUCUUCUUCUACUCUUUCCUCCCUCCACCGCAACCACUGCCUGAUCCUUUAUGUUUGACGCUUGCAUCUCCGAUUAGCUCUUUCUCUUGGUGUCUGUCGCUACACCAUUAGUGGUGGAGGACGUUACGACUGUUAAGGUGGUCGUAGACAAUAACAUUAGGGUUUUGGAUGUCCGUACUGGACGGUCUUGUAAUUGACGCUUUGGGUCUUCAUACUUGCAAUUGAUCAAUAUAGGUAUGUCUGCAACGACUUGUAGCCCCAAACAUCUCCAUUCGAGCGUUUAGAGGGAAACACCGACUGCAAUGUAUUCCAAGUCUAAGGAUCUCCGGCUGCACCGUCAUUCACCGCUCUUUCUGAUUUUCUCAAAUUCUUCUAUCAAAGUCGACCGCUCCAUCGUUUCUCACCGACUCUCCUCGCUCUCCUAAAUUCCAUCUGCUCCUUUUGUUGUUUGUUGUCGACGUUGCUGCACUGUAAGGUAGGCCAGUCACGGAGUCCAUAAUUUUUCCGAUUUGGGGGUGUUUAUUUCCGAUUCUUCCGAUUUCUUUCCGCCGUUCUUGUGUUCGCUUUCUAUGGCUCCAUCUUAGGUUGGUUUUCUCAAUUAUCCGACUACCUUCAGACUGUAUGUGAUUUGGAGCUACUUAUCGAUCCUCUUACUCUUCCAUGUGAGGACCAAUAUUAAAAAUUGGAUCAGUUGUUCAUCUAAUUAGGAUGGUAAUCUUGAUACACGUAUUCCUUCUAUCAAGUAGUGAUCCUUCAAUUUCAAAUUUUACUAACUAAUUAUGUACUUACAGUUGUUCUAUUGUUCAUCUAAUUAGAAAUUGCAUAUAUUUUUUUCUUUUAUCGAACGGUAAGAAAUACCCUUUAAACUUCGAUUUUUUUUUUCUGUUGUCGAUUUAUGUAUCUGAACAAUGAGGGUUUUGUUUCGAUUUUCUACUUAUAACUUUCAACUUCAAUUUUCUAUUUUUUUGUUAUGAACAUGUGACGUAUGGUGGCGAGGAUUGUUGGGUUGGUCGAAAUGGAAACCCUAAUAGAUUUCUUAUUUGGAUUGGGUUUUUACUGUUCAUAUUUGGAUUGGGUAUCAAUUUUACUUUCAGUCAUGCUUUGAUCCUGGGUUCAAGAAAAAUUUAAUCAGCCCGCCAGGGCUUCUGGAAGGCGAUGAGUAUGUGGCCGAGUGUGCUAGUCGUCGAAUGAUUUUAGGGUUUAUUGCACAGCCUGCACACCAACACGACGUUGUUAUCAGUACAACAUGUUGACCCAGACUUCCCCUCGAAAAUCAUGUGCUUUACCUGUUGCAUCUGAGAUCUUCUUUCUCAUACUAGCUGUUGUUGUUCGAUUUAUAUGUGGAAAAGGAAUUUUAUGUUGUCCGGUUAACAGGCGAUUUAAAUCUUCCCAUGUGGUUGACUAAAGAGGAACAGAAGUUAGUCCACAUUAGCAAAGAGUUUAAACCAAUGACCUAUAGGAUCAAGUUGAUCUUCCAAAUAUACCUUUUAUUAUGUAUAUAUUUUGAUCUUUGUGGAGAUUAUUGUUGAAAUUUGUUAUGAAUUAAGCAUACUAUCAUUGUCUUACAUUGGUAUCUUUCAAAACAUCAUUGAGCAGACUACUACCUUUUGUUGUGCAACAAAUUUUUGAGAAACUGCAAGGAUGUUCUGUUGUAUAAUUAGGAUAUGGUGUAGGUCAGUUAUAUUCAAAGAUUACUUUAUAUUGUUUUAAUUUUUCAAAUUUCUAUUUGGAAAGUUUUUGGCUUCAUGUGUGCAAGAUUCCAUUUUUCUAUAUAAAUAUAUGGUAAGUUUUAUAUUUUUUGGGUUGUAACUAUUUAUAUAAAAUCCCCUUUUCAGUUCUUGAAGAAAAACCAUAGAUCUUCAUGGAUUUUCUGAUUUAUUUUCUGGGUUGUAACUAUUUAUAUAAAAUUCCCUUUUCAGAUCUUGAAGAAAAACAUAGAUCUUCAUGACUCUUCUGACAACCCAAAUUCAUGUUCUGGGGAUAAAGCUUUCUCAAAUACAAAGAAGUUUUUCAUAAUUCUAUAAGUACGACAUGACAACUAUUUCUGUUUUAAAAGAAAAAAAUAGUAGUAAAAUCACAUCCUUAACCCCCAAAUUAAAAUGAGCUCUUAGGCUUAAUGAGAAUAUACAAUAAUACAAUAUACAAUGAGAUUUUCAAUCUGGUCUUCCUUUAAUUUGACUGGGUUUAAUCUUAUUAUGAUUUCGUUAAGACUCUUUAUUUUGUUACUGUUUGCAAUAGUUUUUCCACAUGUAUGUUCGUUUUACUCAUAGACAAAAGGUAUUGUUAAAGUGGAUAAUGGGAUAUAUGAAGCCAUUUUGUUGACUUUGAUUGUCAAAGAUUAUAAAUGGUUUUAAUUUAGUGUAUUAUGUUUGUAUCUUGGUGAUCUCUCUGCAGUGGAAAAAAGGAAGCUCCAUAAAUCAUAUUUAUAAAGAAGGUUCAAAUUUGUUUGUAUUUUGGAUGCAUGGGUAUUUUAGUCAAAUGUAUAAUUGGGAGACAUUCAAUUUGUAUAUUGGUAUUUUUUUUUGUAAAUUUGUCAAGUGGAUCAUAAAUGGUAUGGACCGUAAUUGGAUGUUUAUUAUUAGGAGGUGAUUAGGUGAUUUUUUGAGUAAAGGGCAUUUUGGUCAAA